CCUACGGGAGGCUGCAGUGAGGAAUAUUGGUCAAUGGGCGAGAGCCUGAACCAGCCAAGUAGCGUGAAGGAUGACUGCCCUAUGGGUUGUAAACUUCUUUUGUAUGGGAAUAAAAUGUUCCACGUGUGGGAUUUUGUAUGUACCAUAUGAAUAAGGAUCGGCUAACUCCGUGCCAGCAGCCGCGGUAAUACGGAGGAUCCGAGCGUUAUCCGGAUUUAUUGGGUUUACAGGGAGCGUAGGUGGAUGGUUAAGUCAGUUGUGAAAGUUUGCGGCUCAACCGUAAAAUUGCAGUUGAAACUGGCAGUCUUGAGUACAGUAGAGGUGGGCGGAAUUCGUGGUGUAGCGGUGAAAUGCUUAGAUAUCACGAAGAACUCCGAUUGCGAAGGCAGCUCACUGGACUGCAACUGACGCUGAGGCUCGAAAGUGUGGGUAUCAAACAGGAUUAGAUACCCCAGUAGUC
rnacentral:rRNA from 1 species